ensembl:lncRNA
UGAUGGCACACAUGGGGGAAAAGAUACAGCAUUCACCACAGCAAGGCAACAUCAUUAUUCGUUGCAUCAUGUGGAAGACCAGUCCCGACUGGGACCACUCCUAGAAUAAAGGUCAGGAAUGCAGCAUCUUUCCAACAGAUCGGCUAGAAUCUACCAAUCCGAUCAUUGCAGAUCAUUGCUAGACAUCUGCUUCCCAUGGAAAGGUGGAAUCGUGAUUCCCAUUCGUUCCUCAGCAGUUUUGAAUCCACCCAUCUAUGUCCCUGUGACUCGAGCAAAUGUGGCUCCCUGUCGUCUCACAGCGCAAAACCAACUUACAUUCCACACUUGAAGGAUCCUUUGUGUAAAGAGUGGGGAGCGCAACAGAGACAGAAGAAACAGAGACGGAGCAAGACCAAAUGAGGGCGGCCAUCUGUGGUAGAAGCCGAAAGGAUUAUACAGAAUCAAUUACUAAGCUGAGUCCAACUGGCUCCCUUCUGCAAUAGCCUUAAUAUCUUUGCUUCAGUACUCGUGUACCUGAGUUUACUUUGUGCUGUGUGUGUGUGUGUGUGUGUGUGUGUGUGUGUGGCUGGUUGUAGCAGUGGGUUUGGGUGAAUGGUGUGGACAUGGUAUGGAGGUGUGCACAAGUAGGUUGCAUUUGCAUCUGACUACCUUUGCUUUUAACACAACGAGUAAAACCAAAAAUUCCACAUUCCAUCAGCAAAAUGGAAGGUCUAGAUUAAAACAAGUGGCUUAUUUUGCUAUUGUGAGGCCUUUUGCGUUUAAUUCUAACAUAAUCUUUUAGGAGGGAAAGACAAACAUUUUCGAGAAAAAUUCACUUUUCCAUAUGCCCCAUUGCGUGAGAAGACUUACUCCACCCUCACGUCUGUAGUAAAUAUGAAGCCACGGCCAGAAGGCUGUUAGAUUAGCUGGGCAUAAAAACUGGAAACUGCAAUCAAACUGCUCAUCUAGUUCUCAGCAAGGAGGCAAAUUAGCGCUUCUCCACAGAUGUUGAAUUAUUUCUUUAAAGUUUCACUUAUUUCCUGCAUUUGACCUAAACUAUUUUCUAUGUCUAUCUGGUUUUAGUCCAUACAUAUAAAUAUAUAAGAUGUUUAUAUCCAUUUAACUUUCAAUAGAAUGAGCAGUCUGUAAAAGUUCUACAUCCUGCUUGUGUCCCAUGGGCCGCGCAGUGGGUGUUAAAUAGAUGAACCUCUUUCGGGGGUCCCAAGUAGACGUCAGGUUCUGCAUCAUCCGGAGCCCUGAUACAUGAUGAAUACGGUUUUCAUCACGGUAAACUGUGGGAAAUACAGUAGGUGGCUCCCCGUGACGUAUUGUCUACUCGAGUCCAUAGUGGGGCCACUCAUAGCGGCUGUGUGGGUGGGAGGCCCAGCCACCGUGUGCCAAACCCACUGAUGAUUCAGCCCUCAUGGCACCUUCUGCAAGGAGUAAGGCUACGGUAAGUUGGAGUCCAGUACCUUGUGCUUGGCGCCCGCCAGCCAUCGCCAGCCUGAUCUGGGCAUUUCGCCGAGUUAUCAGUCACAGACCACGUGUUCGGACUGACGGGUGCCGUGCAAUGUGUCACGCACAAUUCUAGCUGGGACGGACAGCGACAGUUAGGCCCCAGGCCUGAGCUGUGUGGGAAGAGGUGCAAACUAAAUCGUCAUUAACUCCCCACUGUGGUGUUUCAUCAGCACACACAGUUUGGGAACACACUCCUUCG